rnacentral:rRNA from 1 species
UACAGAGGGUGCAAACGUUGCUCGGAAUUAUUGGGCGUAAAGCGCACGUAGGCGGUUCGUUAAGUCAGAUGUGAAAGCCCCGGGCUACAACCUCGGGAAGUGCAUUUGAAACUGGCGAGCUUGAAUAUGGAAGAGGGUCGCGGAAUUCCCGGUGUGAGAGGGUGAAAUUCGUAGAUAUACGGGAGGAACACCAGUGGCGGAAGGCG